rnacentral:rRNA from 1 species
UACGGAGGGUGCAAGCGUUAUCCGGAUUCACUGGGUUUAAAGGGUGCGUAGGCGGGCAGGAAAGUCAGUGGUGAAAUCUCCGAGCUUAACUCGGAAACUGCCGUUGAUACUAUUUGUCUUGAAUAUUGUGGAGGUAAGCGGAAUAUGUCAUGUAGCGGUGAAAUGCUUAGAUAUGACAUAGAACACCAAUUGCGAAGGCAGCUUACUACACAACGAUUGACGCUGAGGCACGAAAGCGUGGGGAUCAAACAGG